rnacentral:rRNA from 1 species
UACGGGGGGAGCAAGCGUUGUUCGGAUUUACUGGGCGUAAAGGGCGCGUAGGCGGCCACCGCAAGUCAGUUGUGAAAUCUCUGGGCUUAACCCAGAAAGGUCAACUGAUACUGCGGGGCUAGAGUGCAGAAGGGGCAACUGGAAUUCUCGGUGUAGCGGUGAAAUGCGUAGAUAUCGGGAGGAACACCAGUGGCGAAGGCGACUUCCUGGCCUGUUCUUGACGCUGAGGCGCGAAAGCUAGGGUAGCAAACGGG